rnacentral:lncRNA from 1 species
UCCUCCAAAGUCUAUGUGGUACUUCCUUAAAUUUUUAGCUGGUACUCACCCCUCCCCUGAACACUGAUGCAGAAAGUUGCUCAAAUCAGUCUCACGUGAAAGUAAAACAUUUUCUGAUGGCUGGAGGACCACAGCACAGGGGCAAAUUUCCUGAUAGAAGUCACCUGCCUACUUGAGUCCCAAGGACUAAAAUGUCACUCAACUUCUUCAAGGCUGAUUUCCAUCAGUGAAUUGAAUGUUCCAGUGCCAGCCACUGCCUCAGUUGAAGG